UAGAUAAUUUACGUCUUUGCCCCUGUUUGGUUGACGGUAGCCUGUCAUCUAUCCGUUUAUAAACAGUAGUUUUCUCCAAAUUUCGUUUCCAACUUUGUCCCUCUACAUUUAUGGUUUUUGCGUUUUGUCUUUGUUAUUGGUUUUGUUUUAUUCAAAAAUUUAUGUUUUUGUCCUAUUUUUCUCGUUUUCCAUUUUUAUCCCUCUCACUUGCGUUAUUUUGUUCAAUUUCAAACUACACGCAACAUAAACCCUCUCUCUUUUCUCUUCUAUGCCUUGUGUCCCUUGUCGCUAUUAGUAGCCAUGAAGCAGGCCAGAAAACAGCCCUCCUUCAAGCAACAGCAGCUCUCUCUCAAUCUCUCAUACGUUUCCCACUCGUAGCCACGGUGCACUUGCCGUAAGGAAGACCUAUCGAGCUACCAACCAUCGUCUUGAGCAUAUCUAGCCUCCGGUUCUGCCUCGGACCACCACAAACAGUGCGAACGUCACCCACACAGCAAGAUCCACCAUGAGAUCUAGCCCGCAACGCCAUUCUCUCUACUCCUCUAUUUCUCCCUUCUUCUCUCCUAUGCAAAAAUGGCCAAAAUGCAAACCGCACCAUGAGAUCAGUGUUUUAAGUCUUUGACAAAUGCAACCCAUUGAUCAAGUAACGAAUGCAUCACUUGAUUUCGGUUCUUCCGAAGAAGCUGAAGAUUCCAAUCAGGUUGAAAUGCAAGGGUAAAAAGGAUCAAAGUUAACAAGAUGAAAAACAUAGAGAAACUUUAGGACCCAACUUCUCUUGCACCCUCUCUAGAACAAACCACAGGUAAAUUCUCUCAUUUAUUUGAUUAGUUCUUUGGCCAUAGAAGUUUGUGAGAAAUGCAUUUUAACAUCCCCCCAGCCAAAUAUUGGGAAAGACAGCAUCAGACCAACUUAUCAUAAGGUUAUUUGCUACCUUUUGUCAUACCAAUCUGAUUUCUGGUUGCAUAACUUCAUAAUUAUACUGUAUAGAUUCCUACAUAUUUCUUUUCUUAUUCAUUUUUGUUUGUAUUUGAUUUGGAUGAUAUUUCUUAUCAUGUUAUGUAUUCGGUUUCAUCUAGAUAUAUGUUACCAUGCUACUUGUCGAAUAUUAUCAUGAUGUUUGCAAUUUGGUUGUACCAUGGAAAUAUUUUGUAAUGCUACAUCUAGUGUUCGGAUCUACAUGUUUAUGUUGCUAUGUUGGUUAAUGAUGCAUUACCGAAUAUGUUAGAAGUUCCAAGUUCAUAUUAUUGUUGAAUAACCAUGUAUACAAUCACUUUUAUGUUUCAGCCAUGCAUAGCAUUUGAUGAUGUGAAAUUGUUUUAAUCUUAUUUCAAUGUGGAAUGUCAUUGGUCGUAUGAAUAAGUGAAAGUAAUCGCAUGGUCUAAUAUUUUCAAGCCGUAACGCAGGAUAUGCAUUGUUGUAUACGAUCGCAUGUUAUAUGAUUUACAAGAGUCUCAACAUACAUGAUUGCAUGAUGCAUGAAAAGAGCAAAGUAUCAGAAGUCCAUACCACAUGCAUUGGAUUUGUGCAUUUCUUUUAAAAGAAAAGAGUCAAUGAAUUUUUUAUCACGACCCCAAAUGCUAGGACGGGAGAAUGUCCUAGUGGAACUCAUCUGUCCACUCAAAAGUGUUUAAAAUAGCGUAGUAGUCCCUAGGUCAACAAAGUAUAGUCGACGGACCUUGGAUGAAUCCUAAAGGAUUUUAGAGUGGGGUUGCACUUUAAGCUAGUAGGUGUCAUAUGUUGAAAGCGAAAAUGUGAACUACCGUAAUAAGUAUGUUUAAGAAUAUGAUGUAGUCACCUCGGUCAAGUGAGCCAUUGGUUGAUGUGGUAAUUAGAGGGGAAUACAAGAUGCAUAGGGGAGCCGUGAGGUAUCCAAUUAUAUGUUUAUGUUAUGAGAAUGACCAAUAACUCAAGCUCAAAUGAUAUGCUAUAUGUUUAAGAACCAAGAAUGAAAAGAUGAAAAGACAUUUUCUGAAAAAGGUCAAAUGGUUUUCUGUUACAUGUUAUUUUUGUAAAAGUCAAUGUUGCAUAAGUCAAAAUUCAUGUCUAUGCAUUCAUUAUGGUUUCUCUCAUAUGCUUAUGUUAUCUAUUGUAUUUUAUCUAUUUUCUUACUGAGGUUUCUCAAAAUUUCACUGUGGUAGUUUUCACUAGCAUUCCCCACCUGGAAUGGUAGAAGUUGUGGCAGGUACACAAGACCUCUUAGAACCAUGAAUGAGAUUAACGAGCUAGUAGAAGAUGAGUUUAUAGGAGAAGCUCGUUACAACUUUACUGUGGAUAUUUUGAAGGUUACAGCGCAACGACUUAAGGAAAUAUGUAAAACCCUUAGUGAGACCGACAAUGGGACCCUAAUUUUGGAUCCUGGAAAGGCUUCUAAAUUGAAGAGCGAUAUGGAUUUUGUAAUGGGGUAUCUCAAAGAAGCCCAAGAUUCCGAUUGAAGCAAAGGAAGUUGUUGAUAGGGGUGUAAAAAUAAAUCGGAAAACCAGCUCGGACCAGACUGAGCCGGUUGGUUCAGUCUGGUUUUCGACCAGUUCAAUCUGGAAUUUGUUCAUUUAUUUUAAAAACUGGUUAAAUC